CACGUUGAAACACCGGUUCCCGUGCAAUCACCGAAAUUAAGCAACGCCGAGUCUGGUCAGUACCUAGAUGGUGACCAGUUGGGAAUAUCAGGUGCUGUAAG